UACGUAGGGGGCAAGCGUUGUCCGGAAUCAUUGGGCGUAAAGCGCGCGUAGGCGGUCAGGUAAGUCCGGUGUGAAAGUCAAAGGCUCAACCUUUGAAUGCCGCUGGAUACUGCCUGACUUGAGUCCGGAAGGGGCGAGUGGAAUCCUGGUGUAGCGGUGAAAUGCGCAGAUAUCAGGAGGAACACCAAUGGCGAAGGCAGCUCGCUGGAACGGUACUGACGCUGAGGCGCGAAAGCGUGGGGAGCGAACAGG
rnacentral:rRNA from 1 species